rnacentral:tRNA from 1 species
GAGGAUUAGCUCAGCUGGGAGAGCACCUGCCUUACAAGCAGGGGGUCGGCGGUUCGAUCCCGUCAUCCUCCACCAU